UAGGGAAUCUUCCGCAAUGGACGCAAGUCUGACGGAGCAACGCCGCGUGAGUGAAGAAGGAUUUCGGUUCGUAAAACUCUGUUGUUAGAGAAGAACAGCGCAUAGAGUAACUGUUAUGCGUGUGACGGUAUCUAACCAGAAAGCCACGGCUAACUACGUGCCAGCAGCCGCGGUAAUACGUAGGUGGCAAGCGUUGUCCGGAUUUAUUGGGCGUAAAGCGAGCGCAGGCGGUCAAUUAAGUCUGAUGUGAAAGCCCCCGGCUCAACCGGGGAGGGUCAUUGGAAACUGGUUGACUUGAGUGCAGAAGAGGAGAGUGGAAUUCCAUGUGUAGCGGUGAAAUGCGUAGAUAUAUGGAGGAACACCAGUGGCGAUGGCGACUCUCUGGUCUGUAACUGACGCUGAGGUUCGAAAGCGUGGGUAGCAAACAGG
rnacentral:rRNA from 1 species